rnacentral:tRNA from 1 species
GGCUCUGUGAUGCAAUGGACAGUGUGUUGGCCUUCAAAGCUGUGGUGCGCAGUGUGAGCCAGGCCAGUUAGUCAAAUGUUGUGGGUUCAAAUCCCACGAGGGUCA